rnacentral:lncRNA from 1 species
GCUGUGACGAGGAAGAGCCUCCAGGUAGGAACAGCCCUUGGGGUAUGACAAAAUGGGAAAGGUUUCAUGGUAAGAUUUGAGUUCACCUACUCAUGUGGGAAAUGAGGAAUGGGAAUAAAAUAGAAAAAAAACAGAAAUAUGUAUUAUUUUCAUAAAAGAAGAGUUAGUAGACCUUCUGACAUCCUGUUCAUAAGAAGACAACUUUUGCUUUGCCAGGUAAACACAAUCUUCCAUGUUAAGUCCCAUUCUGUCCUAAAUUUGCCUCUAAUAAACAUCAAGUAGCUUGGCUUUCAUUAUUGAUUAUUUUUUGGCAUUGUGCAUGAAAGAAAUAAGAUCUACACUUUAGGUUUGACCCACAAUGGAAAGAAUCUAGUGGGACAUACUUUCUUAGAAGCACUUUGCAAACCUGUAAUUGAAGCUCUCACUAGUGAUAAGCAGUGAGUAAGAAGUCACAAUUCCCCUCUGACUGUUAUCCUUUUAGAGCAGCACUUUCUCUUCUGUGUUUUGUCUAUUUCUGGUUGAAAAUGAACUCCCAAAUGUGGGCAACUUAAAGAAAAUUGUUUCUGUGCUCCCUGGACAGGCCACUGUGUUCUCCUGUAAAAGAGUGGGGAGAAGUUCCUCCUUGAACAUGUUUCUAACCUCCAGUCUUCAUCUAAUUCCCAAGCCCUGGGACUAGGAGGAAAAUCUGAAUUUGCUUGUAUUUAAGAGGCCUAAGUCCAGAAAAUCAGGGAGACUGUGGCUUCCUCUUGGAGUAACAGGAUGACACAGAAUCCCUACCAAGUACAAUGGCAGAAUGUGAACUGGAAAAGAGCUCUUGGGAUGCUAGAUCUAUUUCUCAUUGCAGAGGUGAGGUGAUGGAGGCCAGGAGACAGGAAUGCAGACAAGAAAAAGAAUGGAGAGCUUUGACUGUGGGUUCUAGAACACCAGGAACAGGAGCAACUUAAGUUCUCACCUUGACUUUAACUCUGCCUUUCCUUUUUCUAAGGCCACAUCAUCACCAUCACGGCCAUGGUCCACAGAGAAAACAUAGAAAGUGAUUCAGAGGAUGAGAAGGAGGAAAAAAGGACAAGAAAUCUGCAAGUAAUUGAUUUUCUGUUGGUUUCUCUUAAUUAUUCUUUCUUAUGUAAAGACUGUAGAUUUUCCAUGUUUCAUCUUUCCCACAUUUUAUGACUUUUCUAAAGGUGCUUUCCUCAUCCAGAUCUUUGAGGUCCUUGGACCUUCAAUGUCUGUUCAAUCUCUCUGCACUAACAUUCUUAGUCUUUCCCUACUUUUUUUUUUUUACCACAGGCAACACCACUGAAUCAUGCUGAGUAAUACUGCAUACCCAUACACUGAGUUUGAGUUGUAGGGAGCAUCAGAAAUACUGAGUUGUUGCCUGAUACAUGAGACACAAACAAUCUGGUUCUGUUUUACUGACCACUGAAUAGCUGGGUUCUCCUGCCUUUGCUGGCUCUGGGCAUGCAUGAAUGUAUCCUUCCUUUCCUAGGUCAAGAUUACACAAUUGGAAUGUAGGUCCCCUAACAUGAAUUGUUUCCAGGGGCCCUCUCCUGUUUUAAUAUGUGGGCUCAAUGCAACAAAGGCGAUAAAGCAGUUUAGGAAGAGGAAAUGUGAGUCUGGAAAGAAUGGGAAGGAGAGCAGAGGUCAAAUCAGUCCACAUAUUCUCCUUUGCUUUCUUAAGUUUAUUUGUUGCACUUUGUUGCAAUCCAUAAGAAUCAAUUAGAGCACUGAAGGUUCCAUAGUUGCAUGUGACCAUGGCCAUGCAAGGGAAGGUACAAUUUGGUUAAAAUCAGUGCAGGAAGCUCUCUGAGGAAUGGCACUACAGAGGGUAGGGCUGGAGGAGCCAGGGUCCUUGCUCCACCCUGUGUCAUCACAGAUGCUGCUCUUCAGGGUCCCAGAUGUAUGCUAUUCAGCCUUUACACCCAAAUGUCCUAGAGAACUCUUCCCAUUGUCUCAUGUUCACUCUCCAGGGAAGCAGCCUCAGAAGGUUCUGAAGGUGAAUAUCCAUGAGAAUUUCCUCCUGAGGACAUUCAUAGACACUCUUCCCACAGACAACACCCUAAGCUGAGGGCAGCAUACCAGCCUCAGUGCUCCCUGCCCAGACCCCAGGAGAGAUCAGGGCCCAAGUUCAUCUUGCAUUUCCUGAGGACAAUUGUGGUCCUGGCCACUCUCUGUGGCCAGCAACUCAUCCCAAGUGACCUUUUUACCUUGUUCUGUUUUAUAGACCACAUAAUACACCUGGGAGAGCAGAGAUUUUGGCCCUGAGGCACAGGAGAGAUGAUACCUGCAGUGCACAGCAGCUGAAAUUAACCUGUAAGACUCGGAGCAGGAGCUUGUUUUUCAUUUCCAAAGACAUAACUGUCUAUAUUGUAUGGAAUUUGCAGACUUAUAAUUUCUUUGUUUAAUAAUUUUAAUAUUAGUAAUUCAUGGUAAAUUUUUAUAUUAAAUUAUAUUUACUUGGUAACAGUUGCUUUUUAAAAUCAUUUUGUAAAAUAAAACACACUUGGGAAGAGAGGUGGGAGGGAAAGUGAGGGAGAAGUGGAAUUGCACGGAAGAUGGAAGGAGACCCUCAUCGUUAUACAGAAUACAUGUAUGAUGAUGUGAGGGAAAAAAAGAAUUGUGUCACAUUAGAUUGGGUAGAGAGAACUGAUGGGAGGGGAGGGGAGGGGAAGGAGGGAAAGGAAGGUCAGCAGAAUAAAAUAGACAUUAGUAUUGCUGUAUGUAUAUACAUGACUGCAUGACCAAUGUGAUUCUACAACCUGUACACUCAGAAAACUGAGAAAUUAUACCCCAUCUUAUUAAAAAAUAUGAUAUGUCAAGAUCAUUGUACUGUCAUGUUUAACUAAUUAAAACAAAUUUUAAAAACACACACACUAAAAGAGGAAUAUGUUCCUAAGGCAGAUCUUGAUGAAUUACAAAGAUUUUACCUGGUAACUUCCAUCACCAUCACU